rnacentral:lncRNA from 1 species
UGUGAAAGUUGGAUUUCGAGCUCCUCUUGGAUAGAUGGCUAACUACCUCUCUCCGCCAGAUACUCCAACCGGACUUCAGCCGGCAGACCUUCGCCCCUGGCGCGCUGCAGUAACAGCCACGAUUCUGCUCCAUUCCCUGCGGCAGAUUCCAUGCGGCUCCAUCACUCCACGACCCUGCUCCACCUCCUGCGAUGGAUUCCACGCGGCUCCAUCACUCCCUGGUAGGCCAUAAUAAUGGCCACGGUCCUGCUCCACUUCCUGUGACGGAUACCGCGCGAUUCUUCUAUCCUCUGGCAAGUCGCGAC